CCAAUAUGGCAUGAAAACUAUAUUACAUAAAAAUAUUGAAUAUAUAAAUAUGUCAGGUAAGAGAGUGACAUUGUAUUUAUUUGAUGCAUUUAGAUGCAGUCCCUGGACAUUUGCUACUUUGAAUGCAACUACUCUCAACCACCCUGUUGGUGAGCUUGGACGCUCAGGAAAAGAAGGGCUCUGGCUUAGGAAGGAGCAGUUUGCUACAUUAACAAGCUGAGCCGUGAAAGGAUUAGAUCCGCUAAGUGAGUGCCUGUUCCCUGCACCAUUGCUAAACACAUUUCAGAAAGCAGUGGAUUUGCCUUAAAUGAGUAUCUGCUGGAGGAGCAAAGCCCUAGGAAAACAAAGGGGCGCGGCAGGUACAGGGAAAAUGAUGUUGUACGGUUGGGGCGGCAAGCGACAAUCUCUCAGAACUGAAGAAGAUUACAGACUUUUUGGAAAGUAGCUAUGCCAGGGGAGAUCAAACCACUUCUGGAAGCUGAGAGGGAUCAAGAAGGAACGUGGAUCUCAGCGAACACUACUGGUGGAGGACAGAAUGCAAAUGAAGGGUUGACUUUAAAAUGAG